UGGGUUGGCUCAGUGGUUAGAGCGUAGGUCUCGCAACCGAAAGGUCGCGGGAUCGAAUCCCGCUAG
rnacentral:tRNA from 1 species